UACGUAGGGGGCAAGCGUUGUCCGGAAUCAUUGGGCGUAAAGCGCGCGUAGGCGGCCCUGUAAGUCCGUUGUGAAAGUCGAAGGCUCAACCUUCGAAAGCCGAUGGAUACUGCAGGGCUAGAGUCCGGAAGAGGCGAGUGGAAUUCCUGGUGUAGCGGUGGAAUGCGCAGAUAUCAGGAGGAACACCAAUAGCGAAGGCAGCUCGCUGGGACGGUACUGACGCUAAGGCGCGAAAGCCAGGGGAGCAAACGGGG
rnacentral:rRNA from 1 species